GACGAACGCUGGCGGCGUGCCUAAUACAUGCAAGUUGAGCGCUGAAGGUUGGUACUUGUACCAACUGGAUGAGCAGCGAACGGGUGAGUAACGCGUGGGGAAUCUGCCUUUGAGCGGGGGACAACAUUUGGAAACGAAUGCUAAUACCGCAUAAAAACUUUAAACACAAGUUUUAAGUUUGAAAGAUGCAAUUGCAUCACUCAAAGAUGAUCCCGCGUUGUAUUAGCUAGUUGGUGAGGUAAAGGCUCACCAAGGCGAUGAUACAUAGCCGACCUGAGAGGGUGAUCGGCCACAUUGGGACUGGGACACGGCCCAAACUCCUACGGGAGGCAGCAGUAGGGGAUCUUCGGCAAUGGACGAAAGUCUGACCGAGCAACGCCGCGUGAGUGAAGAAGGUUUUCGGAUCGUAAAACUCUGUUGGUAGAGAAGAACGUUGGUGAGAGUGGAAAGCUCAUCAAGUGACGGUAACUACCCAGAAAGGGACGGCUAACUACGUG
rnacentral:rRNA from 1 species